GUGGGGAAUAUUGGACAAUGGGCGAAAGCCUGAUCCAGCCAUGCCGCGUGUGUGAAGAAGGUCUUCGGAUUGUAAAGCACUUUAAGUUGGGAGGAAGGGCAGUAAGUUAAUACCUUGCUGUUUUGACGUUACCAACAGAAUAAGCACCGGCUAACUUCGUGCCAGCAGCCGCGGUAAUACGAAGGGUGCAAGCGUUAAUCGGAAUUACUGGGCGUAAAGCGCGCGUAGGUGGUUUUGUAAGUUGGAGGUGAAAUCCCCGGGCUCAACCUGGGAACUGCCUCCAAAACUGCAUGACUAGAGUACGGUAGGGGGUAGUGGAAUUUCCUGUGUAGCGGUGAAAUGCGUAGAUAUAGGAAGGAACACCAGUGGCGAAGGCGACUACCUGGACUGAUACUGACACUGAGGUGCGAAAGCGUGGGGAGCAAACAGGAUUAGAUACCCGUGUAGUCC
rnacentral:rRNA from 1 species